AAAUCCACAUAAAGUAAAUCUCCAACUAAGAGAAACAAAGAUAUUGCUUUUCUGGAAGCCCGGAUCUAUGAAUACAUGGAGAUUUUCAGGGAACAGCAAUAGCUCACUCAUGAAAAUGUACACCGCAAGCAAGCCAGGACAGGUAAGGGUGAGGAUGCGGAGGGGGAGUCAGAGAGAGAAAAAGUGAGGAUGAAGAGAAUGAGACCAUUUACAACCAACAAAACCUGCCUCUGGGCUAGGAUGGCAAGCCCAUCCCCUACUGGCUGCAUAAGCAUCAUGGCCUGGAUAUCAACUACAGUUGUGAGACUUGUGGAGAUCAUACCUACCAAGGGCCAAAGGCCUUCCAGAACUUUGCUGAAUGGUGUCAUGCUCAUGGCAUGAAGUGUUUGUCCACUUUGCAAAUGUGACACAGACUGAAAAUGCUGUCUCCUUGUAGGCCAAACUAAAACUGCAGAAGGCUUCAGAACUAUGGCCAUCUGACACUGAGGAAGAAUAUGAAUACACCAGUGGAAAUGUCAUGAACAAGAAGAUAUACGAAGAUCUGAAAAGACAAGAACUGC
rnacentral:lncRNA from 1 species